rnacentral:rRNA from 1 species
UCCUACGGGGGGCAGCAGUAGGGAAUUUUCGGCAAUGGGGGGAACCCUGAUGCAGCGACGCCGCGUGUGGGAAGACGGUCCUCUGGAUUGUAAACCACUGUCCCCAGGGACGAAGAUGACGGUACCUGGGGAGGAAGCUCCGGCUAACUACGUGCCAGCAGCCGCGGUAAUACGUAGGGAGCGAGCGUUGUCCGGAAUUACUGGGUGUAAAGGGAGCGUAGGCGGGACUGCAAGUUGGGUGUCAAAUCUACCGGCUCAACCGGUAGCCGCACUCAAAACUGCAGUUCUUGAGUGAAGUAGAGGCA